GCUCUGAAUGUCAAAGUGAA
rnacentral:snRNA from 1 species